CUACGGGGCGCACCAGUAAGGAAUAUUGCGCAAUGGAGGCAACUCUGACGCAGCCAUGCCGCGUGCAGGAAGAAGGCCUUAUGGGUCGUAAACUGCUUUUAUUUAGGAAUAAACCCCCGAACGUGUUCGGGGCUGAAGGUACUAAACGAAUAAGCACCGGCUAACGGCGUGCCAGCAGCCGCGGUAAUACGGAGGGUGCAAGCGUUAUCCGGAUUGAUUGGGUGUAAAGGGUGCGCAGGCGGGCUAUUAAGUCAGUGGUGAAAUCCCGGGGCUCAACUCCGGAACUGCAAUUGAUACUGAUAGUCUUGAGUUUGGUUGAAGUGGGCGGAAUGUAGCAUGUAGCGGUGAAAUGCAUAGAUAUGCUACAGAACACCAAUCGCGAAGGCAGCUCACUAAGCCAAAACUGACGCUCAUGCACGAAAGCGUGGGGAUCAAACAGGAUUAGAUACCCGGGUAGUC
rnacentral:rRNA from 1 species